rnacentral:rRNA from 1 species
GACGAACGCUGGCGGCGUGCCUAAUACAUGCAAGUCGAACGAGAGCGACCGGUGCUUGCACUGGUCAAUCUAGUGGCGAACGGGUGAGUAACACGUGGGUAACCUGCCCAUCAGAGGGGGAUAACAUUCGGAAACGGAUGCUAAAACCGCAUAGGUCUUCGAACCGCAUGGUUUGAAGAGGAAAAGAGGCGCAAGCUUCUGCUGAUGGAUGGACCCGCGGUGCAUUAGCUAGUUGGUGAGGUAACGGCUCACCAAGGCCGUGAUGCAUAGCCGACCUGAGAGGGUGAUCGGCCACAUUGGGACUGAGGCACGGCCCAAACUCCUACGGGAGGCAGCAGUAGGGAAUCUUCCGCAAUGGACGCAAGUCUGACGGAGCAACGCCGCGUGAGUGAAGAAGGUUUUCGGAUCGUAAAACUCUGUUGUUAGAGAAGAAUAAGUGCUAGAGUAACUGUUAGCGCCUUGACGGUAUCUAACCAGAAAGCCACGGCUAACUACGUG